GUGCCAGCCGCCGCGGUAAUACGGAGGAUCCGAGCGUUAUCCGGAUUUAUUGGGUUUAAAGGGUGCGCAGGCGGCUUUUUAAGUCAGUGGUUAAAUCGUGACGCUCAACGUCAUCACGCCAUUGAUACUGGAGAGCUUGAUUGCGGUCGAGGUUUGCGGAAUUCGUUGUGUAGCGGUGAAAUGCAUAGAUAUGACGAAGAACACCGAUUGCGUAGGCAGCAGACCAGGCCGUAAAUGACGCUCAUGCACGAAAGUGCGGGGAUCGAACAGGAUUAGAUACCCUGGUUAGUCCGCACAGUAAACGAUGAAUACUUGUUUUUGGCGAUAUAUUGUCAGAGGCAAAGCGAAAGCGAUAAGUAUUCCACCUGGGGAGUACGCCGGCAAACGGUGAAACUCAAAGGAAUUGACGGGGGCCCGCACAAGCGGAGGAACAUGUGGUUUAAUUCGAUGCUACGCGAGGAACCUUACCCGGGCUUGAAAGUUAGUGACGAGCGCAGAGACGCGCUUUCCCUUCGGGGCACGAAACUAGGUGCUGCAUGGUUGUCGUCAGCUCGUGCCGUGAGGUGUCGGCUUAAGUGCCAUAACGAGCGCAACCCUUUUCCGUAGUUACCAUCAUUAGGUUGGGGACUCUACGGACACUGCCAUCGUAAGAUGCGAGGAAGGAUGGGAUGACGUCAAAUCAGCACGGCCCUUACGUCCGGGGCGACACACGUGUUACAAUGGGCAGGACAGCAAGGAUCGAGGCGGCGACGCUGAGGGAAUCUCGAAACCUGCUCCCAGUUCGGAUCGGAGUCUGCAACCCGACUCCGUGAAGCUGGAUUCGCUAGUAAUCGCGCAUCAGCCAUGGCGCGGUGAAUACGUUCCCGGGCCUUGUACACACCGCCCGU
rnacentral:rRNA from 1 species